rnacentral:lncRNA from 1 species
CAGCAGAAGGCAAAACGUUAAACGUGUUGUCCUUGCCUGUACUUUUCUGUUGACAGAAAAAAAUGACUUGCACAUUUAAACCGUACUGGAAAAAAAUCUGUCAGUACCUCGCUCUUUUGUUAUUUUAUUGUUUUACUAUUAAACAAAAACAACACAAUUACUCCAGACUUUUCACUUCAAAAUAUGUUAUUCAAGAUGUUUGAAUCAGACAAGGGGGAGAAAAAAAACAAUGAAAUUGUAUUUUGUAGAUCAAGCAAGAACAAACUUUAUAGAAGUUCAAACGGCUAGGAGAUUAUAGUCAAAACAAUUAAUUAUGUCAAUUGUAAAAUUAUUUAUUGCGUCUUGCUAAAUGCACCAAUAUGCAUGAACUUAUAUAAAUGACAUGAAUCACAAUUCAUGCAGUAGUAACUGCGCAUAAGCGUAAAGGAUCUAAACAGAAGGACAAAGACGACACUACGAACGAUGCUCGUGCGUUUUCUGAUUUUGGCCGUAUUUUGGCGAUUACAGAUGAAAUUAAAACCCAUGUGUUAUUUGCUUCGUUGGAAACAGAACAGAAAAUCAGUUCCGGAGUUUUCAAUCAGAUAAAGGCUACCAGGGUUACAUAAUUAAACACACAAUCAAUAGCAAAGCAAUGCAUACCUGGCAGCUCGUGAAAUGUGCAAAACCAGGUUUAGAAGCAAAGCAUUCUUGAACACACUGCAGGAAAAACGGUGGUCGACAAGUACCUAACUUCUUUGAAAGUGACAUUGAAAACAUGCACAACGAAGACGAAAUCAAUAUAAUAAAUAACAUCUCAAAUGGGAUUCUUCUCAGAGACGUUGUGCGAAACAAUAUUUUAUGACCUUAUUAGUCAAUUAUCUAAACAAUACCGACCGGAUGAACACGAUCUUGUAAUUCACUUUUUCGAACGCUAGUCGUUUUCCAAGUGUUAAAAAUGUUCCAAAAAAUAUCUUCAUAAAUAUUUUAGAAAAUGAACUAUGAAAACUCUGACGUUUUAUGAUUUUUCUGAUUAAGCAAAAUUCCUUAAUCAGAUAUUAGUUUAAAAGCAGUUGUUGAAAGAUAACACGUGUCUUCUUUUGUUCUUUUCAAUGUACACAGUGUAUUUUCUUAAACUGAAAAUUGAAAUACAGUUUGUAAGUAUUAAA